GAUGAACGCUAGCUACAGGCUUAACACAUGCAAGUCGAGGGGAAACGACAUCGCAAGCUUGCUUUUGAUGGGCGUCGACCGGCGCACGGGUGAGUAACGCGUAUCCAACCUGCCCAUCACUUGGGAAUAACCUUGCGAAAGUAAGACUAAUACCCAAUGACAUCCCACGAAGACAUCUGAAUGGGAUUAAAGAUUUAUCGGUGAUGGAUGGGGAUGCGUCUGAUUAGCUUGUUGGCGGGGUAACGGCCCACCAAGGCAACGAUCAGUAGGGGUUCUGAGAGGAAGGUCCCCCACAGUGGAACUGAGACACGGUCCAAACUCCUACGGGAGGCAGCAGUGAGGAAUAUUGGUCAAUGGGCGAGAGCCUGAACCAGCCAAGUAGCGUGCAGGAGGACGGCCCUAUGGGUUGUAAACUGCUUUUAUAAGGGAAUAAAGUGGGUCUCGUGAGACUUUUUGCAUGUACCUUAUGAAUAAGGACCGGCUAAUUCCGUG
rnacentral:rRNA from 1 species